UACGGAGGGUGCAAACGUUGUUCGGAAUCACUGGGCGUAAAGGGCAUGUAGGCGGUCCGCUAAGUCUGAUGUGAAAGCCCGGGGCUCACCCCCGGAAGGGCAUUGGAAACUGGCGGACUCGAGUCCCGGAGAGGAAGGUGGAAUUCCUGGUGUAGCGGUGAAAUGCGUAGAUAUCAGGAGGAAUACCGGUGGCGAAGGCGGCCUUCUGGACGGUGACUGACGCUGAGACGCGAAAGCGUGGGGAGCAAACAGG
rnacentral:rRNA from 1 species